rnacentral:rRNA from 1 species
AUUGAACGCUGGCGGCAGGCCUAACACAUGCAAGUCGAGCGAGCGGCGGAAGGGUGAGUAAUGUAGGGGGAUCUGCCCGAUAGAGGGGGAUAACUACUGGAAACGGUGGCUAAUACCGCAUACUCACGGAUGCACCAAUAAGGGAUUAGCUAGUAGGUGGGGUAAAGGCUCACCUAGGCGAAGAUAUCUAGCUGGUCUGAGAGGAUGAUCAGCCACACUGGGACUGAGACACGGCCCAGACUCCGACGGUAGGCAGCAGUGGGGAAUAUUGCACAAUGGGCGCAAGCCUGAUGCAGCCAUGCCGCGUGUAUGAAGAAGGCCUUAGGGUUGUAAAGUACUUUCAGCGGGGAGGCGUUACCCGCAGAAGAAGCACCGGCUAACUCCGUGCCAGCAGCCGCGGUAAUUC